ensembl:lncRNA
ACUAAACUCUCCUUCCCUUAGCUUAGAUCUGUCAGUGUAUUGGCUCCAAAGAACUGUCACUCACUGUCAGCCUGCCGCCUCCACCUCCAGGUCCCUGCUCAGGUGUCAUUCACCCUGUAGGCCUGCUUUGAGGAAGAAGAACGGCCAGAGUGAGGUGGAUCGGAGCGCAAAGGCAAUGGAGAGAGAAGGCCUGCCUACCCAUCCGGUGCAAAUAUAUACCCUGUCCUCUACUUUUGCGACUGUGCUUUCCCCGUUUGGUUGAGCCGCAGUGUGAGUAGCUAAAUGGUGUGUGUGUGUGUGUGUGUGUGUGUGUGUGUGUGUGUGUGUGUGUUCCUGCGCAUGGGGAGAGGCGGGGGAAAAGAAAGAAAAGGAUACAAAAAUGAGAAUGGAAGGAAGGAAAUCCAGCUACCUUUCUCUGGUUGCUCCGUUGGUAAGCACUGAGAUGGAUGAAUAAACCAGUUAUUUUAGUGCUACAGAAUCCAUGUUCUACAUGGUUUGCUAGUGUUUGUGUUGUUUUGUGAUGACAAUGUUCUUGUUGUUAUUAUAUUGUUACUGUGUAUAUCAAACCCUACAACCCCAAGGCUACAGUUGGCUCCAAGAACUUAGCAGAAUACCAAGCAACAAUGAUGCUCCAACAUGUGUCAAAGAGCUGGGAUUUUUUCCUUUACCGGAAUUGAAGGAGUAGAGAGAGAAAUAGAGUUCAAACCCUAGUUUUGUUGUCAGUUACACAGGAAAAUCUCCUUCAUCACAAGGAAAUUGAGGUAGAGUUGGGGAAUGAGAUUUGUUAGUGUUUCCUACUGCACCCAUCUCCAUCAGCAUAUAUAAGCAUCCCUGACCACUGUGUGGAAAAGACUAUAUAUUUCCAUCCUGAAAAUGCAUCCUUUUUACACCCCCUUCUUAGUCCAUUACUGCUCCUUGCUGUCUAUCAAACUAAAGGAUUAUAAAGAACAUAUCCCUUUCACUGAUUCAUCCAUGGGAAAAGAUUAGAAAAGGUAUAAGAAGGAAGGAAACUGAUAGUUAGGGUGCAUCUACCUUGAGAUAGUAGUAAGAAUAUUGAAUAAAAUAAGAUCAGAAACUCCAUUAAUUAUACAUUUGAAUCUGACAGUAUGACCUGGCAAACAUUAAAUAGGUUUUAAUUAAACACGAGACUAGGACAUACCAAACAAAAGAGUUUAAAGACCUGGUGGUCUAGGUAUGAGCUACGCUUAGAAUUAUUUUAGAGAAUGGUAUUUGGGAAAAGGUUAACUUUUUAAAAUAACUAAUUUCCUUUUAUCUUCUUCACCACCUUGUUCAUGAAAGCUUUUCUGAUCUCACAGUUGCUAGGACUUCCUUCAAUUACAUUGUUUUUACUUUGUAUGCACUUCUAUAUAUGUUAUCUCCCAUGAAGUAGGGAUUUUCUCAUUUUGUCUUUAUAUCCCUAGAGUCAAACAUAAAAGCUGGCAAAUUAUAGGGAAUGAAUAGAUGUUUUAAUUUGAUCAAUUUAGCUUGAAGUUUUAGGAAAGGCAAUGCAGCAAGUCAAGUAUGGUGAGUCCACAAAUGAAUAAAUAUGGCAGACUUCAUUAUGAAGUCUAGUCAUUCUAUUCUUCCUUUAGGAGACACAUGACUACCUAUGACUUAUUUUGGAGGAAAGGGAAGGUCUACUUGGAAUCAACUUUGUAAAUAGAUUUGAAGGCAUACAAAAUAUUCCUGCACUAGGAAGAACUAGAAUACCCAUUUAGAAUUGCUAACACCCUUCUUGCUACAAUUAGGCAUUUUUGGGGUGGGGAUAGGGGGAUAGUCAGGGCAUUCAAAACUCAAUAUUCUUUGGAACCCAAAUAUUCUAUUUAAAUUAUCCCCUCUACAGUAGGUGGUUGAUUGUUUUAGCACAUAUUUAAAGAUUAGUUCCAAACCAGAUAGAUUAUAGAACCUGAGAAUCUAACUGCUUUUGAUUAAAUGAGACAUUAAAGAAAUUUGCAAAAAAAAAAAUGUGUGUAAGAUCACUCUUUUCACUAGCUUUUUUUUAAUAUUGGAAAAUAUUUUUCAUAGAAAUGUUAUUUAUGUCAACAUGUCAUGAGCUUAUUAGUUUAAAUGAAUUCAACAUUAAAUAUUUCAAUUUUCAUGUUUCUGAAAAAAUGUUUCAAUUUUAAUGUCUAAAAUAGUAAAUAUGCUCAGAUAUAACCUAUAUAAACAAGGAAUUUUUAGUACUACCAAUAUUUGUUUAAGAAUUUAAAGGGAUCCCAAGAUCACAAAGUUUGAAAAUCAGUGAUCUAAUCCUACAGUUGAAGAAACAGAUUACUAAAGAUAUUAUAUAAGUAAUAAAUGGUAGAUCUGGAAUCUGAAUGAUUGAUAAAAUCUUUCUCUUUCUCUCCCAUACUAUGUUUCAUUCUACCUUUGGAUUAGGUUAUAAGGCUUAGAAUGUUAGGACAGCAUCAUGAUAGGUUGGAAAUAAAGACCCAUCUUUUUUGUACAUAUUUUAGAUAACUGUACCUCCAAAAUCACCUCCUAAUUUUGGUAUGUGUGAAACAGAGUUAUGAAUCCUAACCACUUCACCAAUUUCUUUCUUUCUUCUGUUAAACUAUUCCACAUCCAUAGUUCAUAUGCAUGGCUAGUGGGAUGCCCUACAAAGGCUCACACAGAUGCAGAUCGAUAUCCCUGGUGGCAUAAUAGGGAACAAGGCAACGUCUUAAAAGUUACAAUGCCUGUUAUCCAAAUAUUUAAACCUAAAUCAAUUUUUCCUACUCUUCCUUUUGUGAUUUAUUUAUUUUUCCUUGAAUAAAUCAAAUUUUGGUGUCCUAUAAAUGUGCAAUUAGAGGCAGCUAAAAGAUAAAAUGAAAAGAGCAUUAAGCCUGAAGUUAGGAAGACCAGAGUUUAAAUGCAACCCCAGACAUUUACACUCUGUGCUAUCCUGGGCAAGAAACAAAAACCUCUAUUUGCCUCAGUUUCCUCAAUUAUAAAAUGGAGAUAAUAAUAGUAUCUAUCUUCCAGAAUUGUUGUGAGGAUCAAAUGAUAUAUUUAUAAACGUGCAGAACAUAAUGCCUGGCAAAGAGUAGUAGCUACAAGCAACAAGUAGUUGCUACUUGUUACUGCUUAGAUUGUACUUGCUGUCAUAAUACUUGAUUAAUAAUUAUUAAGUCCAUGAAAUUUGACUUUCAAAGUAGACAAAGGGUAAAAAGAAAUACAACAAAAAGAUUCAUUCAUCUAUCCAUUCAUUCUAUAAUAAGCAUUUAAUUACUUUGUGAGGAGCACAGUACUAAGGCAGAUGGGGCAAUAAUUAAGACAAUUCUUAACUAUAAGGAGUUUGUACAUUGAUCUGUCAAUUAAUUAAUAUAAAAAUCCAUUAUCAUCCUCCAGAGGACUUUUUUUGUGUCACAAUUUAUUAGAAUCAAUGCUUGGGAGAGAUUUCAGAAACAUUUUAGAACUACUGAGGAAACAGGCCAGGCCACAAAAUUCUUUCAGAGACUGAGUGUAUGAUUUCAUUCCUUUAGGACAUUACAGUCAACUCAAUUAUUCUCAUAUGGUUUCAAGAUUUCAAUGAUGCCUCAUCCAUGUCUACUCCUCUUACUUGACCCCAAUGCUUCCACAAAUGUAUCAAGAGGGUCCACCCUCCAUUUCAAAGGCAUCCCCCAUUUUUCUUGGUAUCAUAAAAUACUAUGGAGCAUGGAAUUUAUAUAUCAUUAUACCUCAUUUUUAUUGGCCUAAUUUUUCCACUCAUACUUUUUUCAUGAUGUCCUUCCUUUACAAAACUUAUUUUUUAAUUCACUGUUUAUAUCAUUAUGCAUCCUGCUCAGGCCCACCAUGCAUCACUUUGGAUUGUCCUUAAUUUCAUUCAGUUUUUCAGAGAUUAUAGUGUUCCAUGACUGGUAGGCAUAUCAAACCUAAUAUUGAAGAAUGCUGUGAUGAACAAUAACUAAUUAUUAUUUAUAAUUUGCUAAGCAUACUGCUUUGGAGGAUAUUUCUGGGCUUUUGUUUCAGAGAAAAGUUUAAAGAUUAUUAAAAGAACUUUGUAAUUUCCCAGAAAGUUUCUAGACCAAUUUGUUCCUUGUGUUCAUUUCUGAAAUCAGUUCAUUUUCCAGUGCGUUGUUUGUUGACAGAAAGAAUUUGUAAGCUUUAUAUGGAAAGAUAGGGUAGACAAAGAAGUUCUCUGUUUCAGAUGAAAUAAUGGCCACUCUUUGACCCAGUCAGCAGAAUUAUUGGUAAUAUCUACUUAGGUAAAAAGUAAAAAUGGUCUAGUGAACUUCCCAAUGGAAGGUUCUUAGAACCCAGAGUAUGAACUCUUAAGUUGCAUACCUUGAGACAAUUGGAAUAAUAAUUAUAAUAGCAUUUUGUAGCACUUUAAAGUUUACAAAGCACUUUGCAAAUAUCAUUUUAAGUCUCACUAAAACUUUGGGAGAUAGAUGUUAUUAUUAUCCCCAUUUUAUAGAUAAAGAAAAUAAAAUGGGUGAAUACCCAGGAUCAUACAACUAAUAAGUAUCAUACAACUAAUAAGGCUGGAUUUUGAACUUCAAUAUUCCCACUUCCAGUUGCUAAGCUCUAUCCACUAUACAACAUGGUUGAACUCUAAUUAAGCUCAUAAAGCCUAAAUCCAAAAUCACAAAUGAUUGUGAAAGGCUCCUCUUAAAGUUGUUCAUUUCAUAAUUUGAGCCAUUGGAAAGGGCUAAAUGAUGAAGUGUCUAUAAUUCUAAUGAGAUAGAAAACUUCCUUUAAAAGGAUUUUUCUUGAUGCUGAAAACAUGUCCUUGUGAGGAUUUAUUUCUGCUACUAUGUUGUGGUCAUUACUCUCUCAAUGCUUCCAUGAUUCAUUCUUAGGACCUCUGCAAACCCAUGUAUAUGAAUAUAUACAUGUGGUUAUGAACUCCGUAUAUUUACCCACAUGUACAUGUAUACACACACACACACACACACACACACACACAUAUAUAUAUAUAUAUAUAUAUAUAUAUACACAUCAAUGUGUGAGUAUAUAUUGUGUUUUGUAUAUAUUCAUACACAUUCCUACUUAUACCAGGACAGUGAAUGGAGAUAAGGACAUGUUACCAUGUCUAUUCAUUAUUCCAUUUAACUGCAUAGCAUCCAUCAUCAGGCCAAAAAUAAUUUUUAUUUACUCUCCCCCUUACCACCCCAGCCCCAACAAACCAUUAGAUCAACCACUUUAGUGUUACUAUUUUUUUUAUUAUUGAUCUUAUUUAGGAGGAUCUAUAGUGUUAUAGGACUUGAUGAAACCAAUAAAAUAUCAUCAUCCUAUAAUAGAGAGUCUCAUUAUAUUAAAAAGGAAAUUUGUCUUCAAUUCAAAUUCAAUAUUGUAUUUCAUCCAUGAUAAUGGUGAUGUAUGAGAUAGAUGCUAGACCCUCUUACCCAAAUUGAUUCAGAGACAUCUUCAGAUACAAGGAGGAAGCAUUUAUUCGGUUCUUAUAAGGACAGACCCAAACACACCUGAGCAGACAUAGAACCUAUCAGCUCCCAUCUCCCAGCAUUGUGCCUGACCCAAUGAUCCAGUAAUAGUGAAUCUGGUUAAAUAAUAAAAGACCCAGGUCUUUUCAUUGGAUGGACUGAAAAGAAAGUAAUCAUUAUUGACCAAUGGUCAGCAAUGUUGUAUGCUUCCUGUGGGUCACAUCAUUUCCUGAAGCUUACACCUAUGGUCUGACCUUCCUGUUCUACAGACUUCUGGGAAUCACAUGAUAGGCCUGCAGGUUUAGGUUCUAACCAUUUCAUAGACUUUUUAAAAAAUUAUUUAUUUUUCUGAGGCAUUUAGGGUUAAGUGACUUGCCCAGGGUCAUACAGCUAGGAAAUAUUAGGUGUCUGAGGCCAAAUUUGAACUCAGGUCUUCCUUACUUCAGGACUAGUCCUCUAUCCACUUCAUCAACUAGCUGCCCCCUCAUAGACUUUUUUGAGAAAUCUUCACCUGUCUCAUUCAGUAAAUGCCACUGGAGAAUAAACAUUUUCCUCUUUCAUUUCUUAUUUGAUAUUAAUAAUCUGGGAUUGUUAAAGUUAUCUCUAAUAUUAUGUUUCAAGGAUUUUUAUAUAAUUCCUCAUAUUUAAAAAUGGGAUCACUGUUGCAGGAGAGCCCUUCAAAAGCAGUAUUUUACUUAACCUAGUAAAUCCUUUUUAUGUAGUCAUUAAAUAGUAAGCACAGUUGGAUCUUCUAAUCUUUCUGUAUUUAAAUCUAUGUGAUGGUAAACAUGAUUUUCUGGGGUUUGUGGGCAUGAUGAUGUUGGAAAAUGUUCUAACCAGCCCAUCUUUUUUUUUUUAAUUAUAACUUUUUAUGGACAGAACAUAUGCAUGGGUAAUUUUUUACAACAUUAUCCCUUGUACUCACUUCUGUUCCGACUUUUACCUUCUCUCCCUCCACUCCCUACCCUAGAUGGCAGGAAGUCUUAUACAUGUUAAAUAUGUUAUAGUAUAUCCUAGAUACAAUAUAUGUGUGUAGAACCAUACAGUUCUCUUGUUGCAAAAGAAGAAUUGGAUUCAGAAGGUAAAAAUAACCUGGGAAGAAAAACAAAAAUGCAAGUAGUCUACAUUCAUUUCCCAGUGUUCCUUCUCUGGGUGUAGCUGAUUAUGUCCAUUGUUGAUCAAUUGGAACUGAAUUGGAUCUUCUCUUCAAAGAUAUCCACUUUCAUCAGAAUACAUCCUCAUACAGUAUUGUUGUUAAAGUGUAUAAUCAUCUCCUGGUUCUGCUCAUUUCUCUCAACAUUAGUUCAUGUCUUUCCAAGCCUCUCUGUAUUCAUCCUACUGGUCAUUUCUUACAGAACAAUAAUAUUCCAUAAUAUUCAUUUACCACAAUUUACCCAACCAUUCUCCAAUUGAUCCAUUCAUUUUCCAGUUUCUAGCCACUACAAAAAGCAGCCCAUCUUUCUUGAUAAACAUUGUAGGAAAAAUUUUUUAAAAAGUCAGAGGGGAAAGUGAUCAAGAAACACCAAACUGUCAUAGUAAACUCCUUUAUGCUGUCUAGAAUAGCAGAAGAAGUUAACCAGAAGUUUACCAACCCUUUAUAUGGAGAAUUACAAAAGUGUCAAAGCUACUCUCCACUGAAGGACUUGAAAUCUGGUGGAUCUCUGCGCUUGUUGGCUGGGAGUUGCAGGGAUAGGGGCAGAAUCAGUCUUUGAUAUUGGCCCUUAGGGGAAUGAGGCCAGGAAGUGAACUCAAGAGUUAGAAAUCUUUGCUAUACUUAAGUAUAGGAAUAUAUCUAAAUAGGCCAUGCUAAAGGUCCUUGAGGAAGCUUGAGAACACUUGAGAACAUUAAAACCUAAGACAUUUGCAUGGGACCUGUCAGAGUAAUAGUAGGGAACAAAGUAAGCUCUUGGUGAUUGAGGAGACAAAGACAGAGAAGGGGUCAAAACUAGCAUCCAAGUUCAGUUAUAAGAAGACAGGGGAAAAAGUUAAAUGCUGUUACAAAGCCAUUUUAUACAGAAUGGUAGUGUGGCAGUGUCAUCUAGACUUCAGGGGGAACAGAAUAAGGCAAGAGCCUCCAGACCAUCCAAGAAUAUAAAUAAAUAUAAAAAAGUUAAAAUUGGUACAAAAUCCAAGAUUGGAGAUAUGAAUAAAAAGAAAACUGAAUAAGAUUUAAAAAUGUUAUGGGUUAAAAAUACUCCUUGAGGAAAACUCAGAAGGAGAGAGUAACUUUACAGUAAAUACAAAGAAAAUCUGGGGCAAGGAGGGGGGAGGGGGGAAAGUUUGAUCUUAAAAACUCUAAAGGGGAUAUAUAAUAGCAUUCUCAAGUAUUUUCUGCAGGUCUUCAGAUUUCCUAAAGAAACACAAAUACAAAAUGAUUUUGUUCCCUUGUUUGUCAAUAAGAAGUAAUAAAAGGAAGGAAAAAAAGCUAUAUAUUAGAGAAAAAAAGAGGAAUUUCUCUUCUUUUAUUGUGAUUUUACCUUGUUCAUGAUAUUCUGACGAUUUGAUUUUCUGCACUCUUCUUUUUUUAAUCAUUUAUUAAAGCUUUAACAAUUUUGCUAGAUUUUUUCAAAGAAAAAAAUUUUUGUUUUGCUCAUAAUUUCCAAACAUUUCUUAGUUUUUAAGUCAUGUAUUUCUUCUGAUUUUCAGCAUCUUCUUUUUUGUCAUUAUUUUGCAUUUGUUUACUUGUUUUAACUUUCUAAUUUAAAAAAAUGCAUCUUUAGUUCAUUUAUGGUUUUGAUAAUUUUUGAUUUGGGGAUAUAAUUUUUCCUCCAAGGAUUGUUUUUGCUAUGUUCCAGGAAAUAUGAUAGGAUAUGUAAUCAUUAUUUUCUUUCUCAUAAUUGUUGUUUCCAUGAUUUGUGCAUUGAUCCACUUAUAAUUUAAAAUUUUAAUGUUUAGACUCCAUUUUGGUCUGUGUCUUUCGUUUGUACUUUCUGAACUGAUUACCAUUUUUUUUUGUAUUAUGAUUUGUAUAGAAUAUGUUCAAUAUUUCUCCUUUUUUAUAUUUUGUAUAAGACAUCAAUGUCUUCAUUCUUUUUAUUUAUCUUUUUGUUAGAUUUGUCCAAUUCUCAGAGAGAUUAAAGUUUUUAUUAUUAUUAUGUUUCUGUUCAUGACAUUUUGUAAAUCAUUUAAUUUUGUAUGUAUUUGUGAAUUUAGAUACUAUGACAUUUUGAACAUGGACAUUUAAUAUUGAUACUGGUUUAUUGUCUAAGGAUUCUUUAAGACAAAUUUGAUUUCCUGGUUUAUCUCUAUAUUGUGGACUUUUGUUUUUCUUCUGUCAUAAUAAAUCUGGUUUGUUUGUUUUUGAUUCAUUAACUAACCAUUUCUUGUAAAAGUUUAAAUUUGCUCAUCAAAUUUGUGGAAAACACAAGACUGGGAGAAUUUGCUAGCAUAAUUGAUGAUGGAGUAAAGAUCCAAAGGGGUUUUAUCAGUCCAAAUUAUUGUUAUAAAUAUGAUAUGAUGAACUUUAAUUUAUCCUAUUGAUGAGGCAUCUAAAUGUCAGAGUAGAUAGAGUGUUGAAUCUAUAGUGAAGAAAGCCCGAGUUCAGAUCCAGUUUCAAAUACUUACUGGCUAUAUGACUCUGAGAGAAAUACUUUAACUCUGCUUUCUCCAUUUUCCACAAUGGCAAAAUGGGAAUGAUAUUAAUACCUAUCUUCCAGGGUUACUGUAAGGAUCAAAUUAGAUUAAUAUUUAUAAAGCACUUAGCCUAAAACCAGGCAUAUAAUAAGCACUGAAUAAAUGUUUUCUUCUUUCAAUAUCACUGAAUAUAGAGUUUUUAUCUUAGGCAAAGAAAAUCAACUGAGUAAAGAAAUGAGAAGGAAAGGAGAAGGAUGAGACUACUCCAAUUAUAGAUUUUAGUAUUUUUCCUAUUCCUUUUCUUUCCCUAUUUUCUUUGUAAAUGGGAAGGAUGGGGAAAAAAAGAGGAAGAUAUUAUGAUGAUGGGGUAAAAAUAGUUAAUAUUCAUACCUGAAUUUGAAUUGGAUGAACUAACAUAAAAAGAGAGUAGUAGAAUGGAUUAAGAAAUAUAGCUCAACAAUAUACUACUUGAAAGAAACACCUUUGAAAUAAAAAAAAAUCAUUUAGAAUUAAGAUAAGGAGCA